GAUGAACGCUAGCGGCAGGCCUAAUACAUGCAAGUCGAACGGUGUCUUCGGACAUAGUGGCGCACGGGUGCGUAACACGUAUGCAACCUACCUUACAUUGGGGGAUAGCCUUUCGAAAGGGAGAUUAAUACCGCAUAAGACAGUAGCUGGGCAUCCAGCAGCUGUUAAAGAUUUAUCGAUGUAAGCUGGGCAUGCGUCCAAUUAGCUAGUUGGUGAGGUAACGGCUCACCAAGGCAAUGAUUGGUAGGGGAACUGAGAGGUCAAUCCCCCACACUGACACUGAGAUACGGGCCAGACUCCUACGGGAGGCAGCAGUAGGGAAUAUUGGGCAAUGGACGCAAGUCUGACCCAGCCAUGCCGCGUGCAGGAUGAAGGCGUUAUGCGUUGUAAACUGCUUUUAUACAGCAAGAAACGACUCUUGCGAGAGGCAUUGACGGUACUGUAUGAAUAAGCACCGGCUAACUCCGUGCCAGCAGCCGCCGUAAUAC
rnacentral:rRNA from 1 species